AAGAUGUACCGCAGCUGCCUGCCUGUGAAUGUGUCUGUGUAUGUUACUACUAUAUAUGGAUCCCAAUUCCAUCAAAACCGAUAUGGAAUCCGCCUUGCGAAUGGAGUUGCUGAAACCUUAGACACGAAAUCCAUUUCGCAGCUGGAGGACUCGGCCAGUAUAAGGCCGAGCCGGGUUACGUCUGACAUUGCCCUGCGAGUGUUCAUCACCUGCGCCACCUGUUUGCCGGGUUAGGCAUCGUGCCAUUUCGAAUCAACGAGACUGCUCUUCGAUGGCUACAUGUCGAACGAAGGUAUGGGGUUAGUGCAACCACAGACAGUCUAAUUAUGCUUCCAUUGUUCUAAUGUCUUCGGACAGCAGCACUUCCUAUGUGCUUCGACCACAGUCUUAGUAGGAUCACCAAAGCAGUAACAACAGCUUUUACAUGGUCGGGGAUGAAGAGAGAGUGACGCCCAUAAAUCGAGACACAUCAACAUCUAAUACGAUUACAGGAUGUUUAUACGUAAUUCGUCUCCUUCGCAUCUAUUGCUUGGAUCGAUGACCAUAAAUCAACGUUGCACGUUGCACUUCACCGCGCUGUUCUUCUGCGUCAUGCACGCCUUGAACGCAUCCAGAUCCACCAACGGUCUCGCCCUCGCCCUCACCGCCUGAAACGUCGCUAGAUGCCGGUGAUCAAGUGGAUGGUUGUCCCCCCCGUCAGGCUGAUCACCUCCCACACCUCGGUGUUCCUCGAUUUCAGCAUCUUCGUCGUUGGGUCUUUGAAUCUCUUCCCGUUGAUGUACAGGUGUGUCGGGUUGCUCGUCGCGCUCUGUGUAGUCAUACAUCACGAUGUACCUCGUCACCAUCGCCUUCCUCUCGUCCACUACCAAAUAGUUUUGAUUAAGCUUGACGGUAUCCUGGGUUCAUUCAUAGUCUUCUUCGAUGAUAGGAUGAACUUCAUCACCUUGCUGUUGAGGGUGCUCGUCGGAGUUUUGUUAGGGUACGAAUAUGGUGCGUUGUUAGUCAAUAAAAUCGUUGAGGUGUUUGACUUGGAGAA